CGUUAUUUUCACCAUGAAGGAGGAAUGGAGGAGGCGCUACUCGCAUAAGGCCCUGCAAAGAAAAGUGACGCUAUGCUGUUAUUGCCGUUGGCAGUAAAUUAGUUCUCAAUUUCUCACUAGGUGCGGAAGGGUAGUCUUACAUGUUGAAAUUUAGAUGUCGGUUGCCAUCGUUACGCAAGUUUAGUCUGCUGUCAGCCAAAAACAGAAAGCAUUUCAAACGUGAAAAUGUCUUGUUGUGUUUUAGGAUGUAGAACAGGAUAUAAGCCGACCAAAAAAUAUCCGAAUCCUUUAAAACAUUGUGUUUUUACCUUCCCUAAAGACGUGGAAUUGAGGGCAAAAUGGAUUGCUGCUGUUGGGCGAUCACAUUGGAAUCCAACUUGCAGAAGUGUAGUUUGUGCACGACAUUUUCUUUCCAGUGACUGUCGCGAAGAUAACAGAAUUAUUGCAGAUGAAUCAGUGAAUUUAUUUGACAGUUUUCGUAAACGUCUUUUGCCAACAGCCAUCCCAUCUGUAAACCUUACACCACAAGAAGAGAGUCAACCAAGGUUACCAACCAUUAGGAAAA